rnacentral:tRNA from 1 species
GAAUUAACUAUAUUAGGCCUUAAUCCUGUCACCUUAGGUCGAUCGGUACCUCAGUUAAUAUCGAAAACUAAGUUAUUAGUUUUAGUAUUAUUGAAUUCAGUUCCUAAACUUUGUCUAGGUCACACCCAACAAGGGUACUCCUGGGCCAUUAGCUCAGGUGGUUAGAGCGCACCCCUGAUAAGGGUGAGGUCCCUGGUUCAAGUCCAGGAUGGCCCAUUCGUGUUGGGGGUAUAGCUCAGUUGGUAGAGCGCCUGCUUUGCAAGCAGGAUGUCAGCGGUUCGAGUCCGCUUACCUCCACUGAUCUACCUUCUGAUAGCGAAUCCUAAGGAGAAAAUUGUUUGAUGUGAUCUGGUUUUUGUUCAUGUGAAUUGAACCUAGCUUCUUGUCAUUCCAUCUAAAAUAUUCAUUUAGUUUGGUUGAUAUGAUGCUGGGCUCCCUGCAAUUUAUAUUGCAGAGACUGUUCAGUAGAACCUUGACAACUGCAUAGUGAGUCUGGAAAAAGAAUAAAGCAUCUCAUGGAUGCAUUAUUUUUUAAUCCAAUUCAGAAUUAACUGAUUUACUCAGUUUAACUAAAGAAUUGGUUUGAAUUAUAAUGUUUGAUUCUUGAGUAAGAGCUGAAACUCUAUGACACUCUUUCUUUGCUUAAUAGCAUUGAGAGUUAGAUCAUUAAUUCUGUACCGAUAAGGAUCAGAAUUAAUGAGAAUAGUGUUAACCAACAUAUGGUGUUAUAGAGAUUAAUGGUCAAGCUAUAA